rnacentral:rRNA from 1 species
UACGUAGGGUGCAAGCGUUGUCCGGAAUUAUUGGGCGUGAAGAGCUCGUAGGCGGUUUGUCGCGUCUGCUGUGAAAACUCGGGGCUCAACUCCGAGCUUGCAGUGGGUACGGGCAGACUAGAGUGCGGUAGGGGAGACUGGAAUUCCUGGUGUAGCGGUGGAAUGCGCAGAUAUCAGGAGGAAUACCGGUGGCGAAGGCGGCCUUCUGGACGAUGACUGACGCUGAGACGCGAAAGCGUGGGGAGCAAACAGG